UACAGAGGGUGCAAGCGUUGUUCGGAAUUAUUGGGCGUAAAGGGCGUGUAGGCGGUUUGCUAAGUCAUGUGUGAAAUCCCCAGGCUUAACCUGGGGAACUGCAUUCGAGACUGCAUUGCUAGAGUAUGGGAGAGGGAAGUGGAAUUUCGGUGUAGCGGUGAAAUGCGUAGAUAUCGGAAGGAACAUCAGUGGCGAAAGCGACUUCCUGGACCAAUACUGACGCUCAUGUGCGAAAGCGUGGGGAGCAAACAGG
rnacentral:rRNA from 1 species